rnacentral:lncRNA from 1 species
CCGUUCCCGUUAGCGACGCUUCAUUUCGUUCGCCCCCUCGAUGCCUGUCAUGCCCCGAGCUCGGUCCUAUUUGGCCGGUUUGAGCACGUCGAACAGACGCCGAACGAACAGCACCUCCCCUGUCCGCCCAAGGCUCAACAACAAGUACAGAGCAAGUAUAUAAAUUGCAUAGCGGAAAUAUAAAAAUCCUUGGCUUGCACGAGGGCAAGCAAUAGCCAAAAGUGAAAGUACUAAACUAAACCAUAUACAAGUACAAUGAUUAACUUUUAACCAUAUACAAGCAUUUAACCACAAGUUACAUUUACCUUUCAUCAUUUCUUUUACAUCACAUAAUCCCAAAAUAGGCCUUUACAUUUAACAUCUUUAAUACAUUUGCAUCAUUCAUAUAACUCUAAUCAUCAAAAUACAAAAGAUGAUAUAUAUAUAAAAGGGUAUGUAACUACUCAAAGUGUAACCAACUCGGGUGGUCCCUGUCUAUGGCGCGAUACCUUUACCGCGAUCGUCGGCCGGCUCACUUGGUCCCGACUCUGUGCAAAUAGUGGGGUGAGAACUACAACAAAAUUUCCAGUGGGUUCGGCCGCCGACCUCGCCGACUUUUCCACUAGGUCUAAAUCAGGCAUAAUAGAAAAAUAGAUAGAUAGUAACCAACUAACAAAUGCAGCUAGUAUACCUGAACAAUAUAAUCAAUGAUUAUGCUCAAUAGA